UUAUUCGGCAAAAAAGUGGAACGAAAAAGUGUAACAAUGGUUUACAAACAACAAUGACAUUAUUGUUACCUACGUCGUCUGUUUACUUGCCAUUGUUGCCGUCAACAAUGGGCUUUCGUUAGUGUGGAAAGAGUUGAGCUGUGAAUUGCUUGUAGAAGAAGUGCGUCGUAGUUUGUUGCGUCAUACUAUGUACAAGAUGGAUGACAUUGAAGCUAAAUGACUCCAUAAAGCAGAAUAUAUGAGACAGUACAGAAAAAGUAAAAAUAUAGAAGUUGUUGAGUCUGGAAAUUGCUCCUGCACAAAAUAAAACACCCUUAUCCGUCAUAUACGAUGAACAUGCAGAAGAGUUGUCAUUUCCAGGCAUCUGUUUAGGAAGAUCUAGGCAAUUUAAAGAACAUCACAAGGUAACACCAUUCAUGAUGGCAACCAAUUGUAAAGCGGGUAUAAAGGAAAUAUUUAUAAUAAAGCCAAUAUAUAAACUUCCUUUCCGUAUAGACGUAUUUACGUCAAAUUCUCCGGAACCAUGGUUCCACUGACAAUUUUUGUUGAGGUACGGACUGAUUGUUGUUUUUCUUGUUGUUGUUUAGACUAACGUCGUCAUUGCAAUUAUUGUAUUAUACAGGAUGGCGGACGAAAUGUUACAAUGUGUCAUCUUGAAGAAAAAUCUGUCAUUUAUCUGGAUCAGAAACUGUUUUGCGUGAUCAGAAGCAAAAUAUGGAGAACGUGAACGUAUGCAAUUCCAGUUUAAGUUCUUCCCUAGAACAAACAAUUUACAAGUGAGUCUUCCUGCAAGCUUAUUAUCCUCCGUGCAAGUUGACAUU